GAUGAGCGCUGGCGGCGUGCCUAAUACAUGCAAGUCGAGCGAAAAGACGAGGAGCUUGCUCCUCUGACGUUAGCGGCGGACGGGUGAGUAACACGUGGAUAACCUACCUAUAAGACUGGGAUAACUUCGGGAAACAGGAGCUAAUACUGGAUAACAUGAUGAACCGCAUGGUUCAACAGUGAAAGACGGUUUUGCUGUCUCUUAUAGAUGGAUCCGCGUCGCAUUAGCUAGUUGGUAAGGUAACGGCUUACCAAGGCAACGAUGCGUAGCCGACCUGAGAGGGUGAUCGGCCACACUGGAACUGAGACACGGUCCAGACUCCUACGGGAGGCAGCAGUGGGGAAUCUUGCGCAAUGGGCGAAAGCCUGACGGAGCAACGCCGCGUGAGUGAAGAAGGUCUUCGGAUCGUAAAACUCUGUUAUUAGGGAAGAACAAAUGUGUAAGUAACUAUGCACGUCUUGACGGUACCUAAUCAGAAAGCCACGGCUAACUACGUG
rnacentral:rRNA from 1 species